CACAUCUCGGAUGGUAUUGUCACCUAUAGUCCUCUACAUAGGUCCAACUGUGCCGGGACGUAGAAUGGGUCAACCGGUCUUUCCCUUAUCAUAACAUAUCAUAUGGACCAACUGUGCCAGGGAUGUAGAAUGGGUACAACCUGGACUUUCUCUUACAUCGUGCCAGGGACGUAGAAUGGGUACAACCUGGACUUCCAUACCAUAUCAUGCCAUAACAUCAUCAUAUCAUAUGAGGACUAAAGGGUCAUCCAAUAACCAAUCCACAUCAACAUCAAAAUCAUAAAUGCAAUGCAACAUAUUCGUGAAUACUAAUGCAAACAACCUACUAUAUCUCAUGGCAUUCAUGAUGCAUGGAUCAUGCUCAAAAUUUAUAUUUCAUCUAAUUUAAAAACUUAAGGUUUAUUCCACUCACCUCUGGCUAGCUCUGACAAACUCUGUAGCAGCUGGCUCACUGCUGGGGUCUUCGGUUCCUCGGGUCCGAACCUACACAGGUGGACUCCAAUGAGGGACCAAACAUACAUAAACAUAACUCUAAUAUGCUCCCCAAAAACCCCCU
rnacentral:lncRNA from 1 species